UACGUAGGUGGCAAGCGUUGUCCGGAAUUAUUGGGCGUAAAGCGCGCGCAGGCGGUUUCUUAAAUCUGAUGUGAAAGCCCACGGCUUAACCGUGGAAGGUCAUUGGAAACUGGGAGACUUGAGUGCAGAAGAGAAGAGCGGAAUUCCACGUGUAGCGGUGAAAUGCGUAGAGAUGUGGAGGAACACCAGUGGCGAAGGCGGCUCUUUGGUCUGUAACUGACGCUGAGGCGCGAAAGCGUGGGGAUCAAACAGG
rnacentral:rRNA from 1 species